rnacentral:lncRNA from 1 species
CUGAUAACGGUUCUCAUUCUGCUUAUGGAACGUUGGGAGCAACAGCACCUGUUGUUUUCCAGUCUUCAUCAUGAGGAUGAUGAAGGGAGUGGAGCAUCUCUCUUACGAGGAAAGGGUUUGCCAGUAAAAAUUGGCUUUCUUCUGGUCUUCUGCUCUGUACCUCAAAAAACAACAAACACCUUGGCACAGCACCUGAAGACGUGUUUGGGGUAAUGUGCUUAAAAGUAAUGAGAAAGUAACCUGGUGUAGUUGUGGUUGGAAGAGGAAACAUACCUACCUUCUAGAUGUUUUUACAGAUCUUUCAAAGUUCUUAACAUCUGUUUUUUUAUAUGCUGUUUGUAAACUGGAAUGAUGUACACAAUACAAAGUGAUAGGCAGGAAAACAAGGUGUUUAAGUUUUGUGUACUGAUUAACAAUUAUUACUUUUAGCAGAUAUCCAUGAGAAUUAUGUCUAAUAAGAAUAUUUUAUGAUCAGACUGCAGUUUAUGGUUUAGAAUAAUUAUGUUAAGUUACAGAAUUAAAUGUAUAGAUGCAUUAAUUUACAUUUGUAAGGCUAGGAGUGGUUACAUAAGGUUACACGUAAGGUUUCUUCACUUGUUCAUGGCUUGAUUUCCCUAGUUUAAAAUCAGGAUAUCGUGAUAGUAGUGCCAUGUCUCAGAGGUGGCAAUAAGGAGUACCAGAGGAAGUCAACUAAAAUUGUCAGGUAAAUAUGAGUGAGUCAGAGUGGGAUAACAGGGCACGUGAGUGUUACUCAAGUGAACAGUGCACUGAGAUCUUUAAUAUAUCAGAGUUUAGUGAGGAUCCAGAUAUCGUGGCCUAACGCUGCUUCAUUCUUAUUAUAGUUUAUGUAGGGAUUUUACAAGAUUUAUAUUAUGCAGAGUGACUGACACUCGCUGAGUGAGUAUCUGAAGGCCAGCCUUUUCUCCAGUUAGAAAAGUGUUUUGAGAAUGAAAAGAUCUGUGUAAAAGCUGAUUAAUAAUUAGAAGCAUUUUAAAAUUGUGGAUCAGAUCCUGGAAUAAAAUUUUGUAGUACAUUGAUUUCCUUCACAAUACGUAAAAUGUCAUCAUUGGUUUCCACUAUUUAUACUUGACAUUUUGCUCAUCUUUGUAGCCUUUAAAAACCUUAGAAUAUGGAAACAGUUCUUCUCUGAUGGCAAGGUGUGACCUUAUUCUGUGCUUUGAGUUGGUUCCUUUAUAUAAAAUUCUAGCACAUCAUUACAAUAACUAAUCAUCUAUUACCAGCAUCUUACAGACUUUCAAGAUUUAUCUAAAACUUCUUUGCAAAAGAAGUAAGUUGUAGAGGCCUCAGGUUUGCCGCACAAAGAUGGUGGGCUGAAUGGUCACAGAGAAUUAUGCUUCCAGACUCGCUUCUUUCUCAAAACAGUUGUCACUUCCAACUAUUUUAAGAAGUUUUAGGCUUUUGUCAUACAUGUAGUCCAGUUUUCAGAGAAGUGACACAGAGCUUCAGGACUUGGACAGGCUUUAAUAUUAAACUACCACAUUGAAGAAUGUUCUGUUUUUCUGCACCAAAAAACAGCAUUGUCUCACGUGUACAAAUUAAGUUAGAUCCUGACACUAGCUGGGAGAAUGCUGGCUGUUACUCACUGUAGAAAAACAAAGGUCUUCUCUCUUUUUGCCAGAAGAUGGCAUUAUUAUUAACAAUUUAGGAUUCUUGGAAACAUACCAAUACUCCCUUACUUCUUUACAAAGUUACUGUGAAAAACUAUGUGUCAGUUUUAGAAACACUGUCUUUGGACACAAUCUACAAUGUUGGACAAAUUAGGGUAUUCUUUUUAUGGGGAGACAGGCACCUCAUUUUUUCAGAGGACUGAUGAUUAAAAGGCCAAAAAGGUUUCAUUGUGAUCAUCUGUUCUGACAACUGUAAUUCCCCUGAAUUCUUUCUUGUGUGAACCAGACUAAAUUUUCUAAAAAUAAUCUACCCUUGAGUUUUGAAAUGAUCCAAGAUGCUAGAGCCAUGACCUUGGCUUAUUUUUUUUCCAUAGUUAAUAUUAGUUAAUGUUGAGUUUUCCUGGGUUGUGUAAUAGCUGUUCUAUGUAUGGAGAGAUACCAGAGUUAUCUCCUGGAACCACCUAGAUCCAGCAGGAUUUAUUAUAUGUGGGGAAGCAAAGCAGUUAUAUAACUUUUAGGACCAUCAAUAAGACGUACUGAGCUGCUUACAUGUCUCAGAAUUAAUCUUCUUGUAUGUUCUGCAGUACCUAUAUUAAUUGGAUUUUCCAUAUUUUGAAAGUCUUAGUCCCUCGUUACUUCAGAUAAUGGAAAUCUGGCUGCACGGUUAUUUCUAACUGCUUAAAUAUAUUUUGUUUAAUUUUUAGUUAGAACCUUGAGUUUGAAAUUCUUAAUUCUCUCUCUGCGUCUGUUACUCUUUUUUGGGAAGCGUUUCCAUUUUUUUUCCUUUUUUUCCUCCUCAAAACUGUGCCCAACAUUAUCGUUCAAAUAGACGUUAACACAAAAGUAGUUCUUGCACUAAUUUUUGGCCAAUCUGUUUGUAUUUAACAUAAGCAUAUAUAAAGAAGUAAGUAUAAUCUAAGAUACAAGAAUGUGAAUAGGC